rnacentral:lncRNA from 1 species
GUGGAUUCUGAUGGAGGAAGUGGUGAGGAACAGGAUGGCAAGGGAAGCCCGAUCAAGGUAUCAUUGACUUGGAUCAUUGAUAAAUUGUUGUGCAUGUUGCUUCACCAAUGGUUUAAACGUGUGUUUACAGAAAAAGGAGAAGAAAUUCAGAAUGCCCCAGUUCUCCAGAAGAGGGUCAAAGGUAAACAAAGAUGGGCAAAACUUCACUUUCACUUUGUUUAUGCUUGUAUGUUUAUAAUGGUAAUAUUUUUUUUUUUAAGGAAAAGCUUCCUGAUGACACUAAGGAGGCCAAGAGCAGGACUCUGCCAGUUAGACGCAAAUCGUCAAAGGUAACACUCCAAUGCACCGUCCUCUGCAGUAAAAGGAGGCAGCAGUGUGACGCUCAGUUCCUGUGUUUUUCAGGAUUAUUUUUCAGAUGUGCACAUGUCUGCAGGAGAGAAUGAGGACGAAGAGCAGGACUACAAAAAGACACCUCUAAAGACCAAAGUCAACAAGCUGCUUCGGCGAGCUUCCACUUCGUCCUCUGUGCCCGAGGGGAAGCACGUGAACGGACACCAAGACUCAAAGGAUGAUGACCUCGGUAAGAAAAGCAACGGCAAGAAAAACUCCAUCAUACGCAGAUGGUCGGAGGUAAAGUCCCUGAAUGCUUUUUUUUUUUUUUUUAAAGUGGUCCUCUGUGGGUUACUUACAGCCUGGUGUCUGUUUCUGCAGGGGACAGUGUUGGAUGACAGCACUGGUGAAGAAGAGCAAGCAGGGGACGGUCCACAUGACGAGGUUUGUUUACAUUAUGUUCAGUCAUUAGUGGUUGGCACCACUUAGCAUGGACGCUAUGGACUUAAGUCUGUAGAGUCCAACAAUUAUGCCACACGAGUGGUUCAGGCACUGGGUUAGGAGGGUGUCCCAGGCACUUCCAUCUAGACUGAGACCACAAGGAUGACCCACGAUCCACUGCAAGGACUUACAUCCUUCAGCUGGAAUCCACUAGCACAAGAUGGGCGAAGUUGCCAGAGACACAUGGGGGUCUGAGUGUCUCUGCGCCCCUGUUGCUGUUGUGAUCCUGGUUGAUUAAGUGAUCGGACACAGAGCUCCAGCCUGUUAAAUGUCUGGAAAUAAAUCAGGGCUGCUGUGCA